AUUGAACGCUGGCGGCAGGCCUAACACAUGCAAGUCGAGCGGAUGAAGAGAGCUUGCUCUCUGAUUCAGCGGCGGACGGGUGAGUAAUGCCUAGGAAUCUGCCUGGUAGUGGGGGACCACGUUUCGAAAGGAACGCUAAUACCGCAUACGUCCUACGGGAGAAAGUGGGGGAUCUUCGGACCUCACGCUAUCAGAUGAGCCUAGGUACGAUUAGCUAGUUGGUGAGGUAAAGGCUCACCAAGGCGACGAUCGUUAACUGGUCUGAGAGGAUGCUCAGUCACACUGGAACUGAGACACGGUCCAGACUCCUACGGGAGGCAGCAGUGGGGAAUAUUGGACAAUGGGCGAAAGCCUGAUCCAGCCAUGCCGCGUGUGUGAAGAAGGUCUUCGGAUUGUAAAGCACUUUAAGUUGGGAGGAAGGGCAGUAAGUUAAUACCUUGCUGUUUUGACGUUACCGACAGAAUAAGCACCGGCUAACUUCGUGCCAGCCGCCGCCGUAACAC
rnacentral:rRNA from 1 species